UUGGAGGGCAAGUCUGGUGCCAGCAGCCGCGGUAAUUCCAGCUCCAAUAGCGUAUAUUAAAGUUGUUGCAGUUAAAAAGCUCGUAGUUGAAUUUCGGGGUUAGUAGGUUGGUCAUGCCUCUGGUAUGUACUGGUCUCACUGAUUCCCCCUUCCUUAUGAACCGUAAUGCCAUUAAUUUGGUGUUGCGGGGAAUUUGGACUGUUACUUUGAAAAAAUUAGAGUGUUUAAAGCAGGCUAACGCUUGAAUACAUUAGCAUGGAAUAAUGAAAUAGGACGUUCGAUCUUAUUUUGUUGGUUUCUAGGAUUGACGUAAUGAUUAAUAGGGAUAGUUGGGGGCAUUAGUAUCCAAUUGUCAGAGGUGAAAUUCUUGGAUUUAUUGAAGACUAACUACUGCGAAAGCAUUUGCCAAGGAUGUUUUCAUUAAUCAAGAACGAAAGUUAGGGGAUCGAAGACGAUCAGAUACCGUCGUAGUCUUAACCAUAAACUAUGCCGACUAGGGAUCGGAUGAUGUUAAUUUUUUAAUGACUCAUUCGGCACCUUACGGGAAAC
rnacentral:rRNA from 1 species